UAGGGAAUCUUCGGCAAUGGGGGGAACCCUGACCGAGCAACGCCGCGUGAGUGAAGAAGGUUUUCGGAUCGUAAAGCUCUGUUGUUAAGGAAGAACGAGUGUGAGAAUGGAAAGUUCAUACUGUGACGGUACUUAACCAGAAAGGGACGGCUAACUACGUGCCAGCAGCCGCGGUAAUACGUAGGUCCCGAGCGUUGUCCGGAUGUAUUGGGCGUAAAGCGAGCGCAGGCGGUCAAUUAAGUCUGAUGUGAAAGCCCCCGGCUCAACCGGGGAGGGUCAUUGGAAACUGGUUGACUUGAGUGCAGAAGAGGAGAGUGGAAUUCCAUGUGUAGCGGUGAAAUGCGUAGAUAUAUGGAGGAACACCAGUGGCGAAGGCGACUCUCUGAUCUGUAACUGACGCUGAGGUUCGAAAGCGUGGGUAGCAAACAGG
rnacentral:rRNA from 1 species